UACGGAGGAUCCGAGCGUUAUCCGGAUUUAUUGGGUUUAAAGGGUGCGUAGGCGGCCUGUUAAGUCAGAGGUGAAAGACGGUGGCUCAACCAUCGCAGUGCCUUUGAUACUGACAGGCUUGAAUGAACUUGAGGUAGGCGGAAUGAGACAAGUAGCGGUGAAAUGCAUAGAUAUGUCUCAGAACACCAAUUGCGAAGGCAGCUUACUAAAGUUUAAUUGACGCUGAGGCACGAAAGCGUGGGGAUCAAACAGG
rnacentral:rRNA from 1 species